rnacentral:lncRNA from 1 species
CAUCUGACACACGAGAACCCGAAGAGCAAAGCGGCUGGUGCCCUGCUCGGCGUUCCCGCUAGAAGCCCGGAGGCAGGUCUAGGUCUACCUGUGGCGCGUAAGCACCGCCCGCGGCAGCUGGCAGGCAUGUUCGGCUACAAACCAUUCUUAGUGCCCACGGUUCUGAGCACUGAGCGUAGAAAUAGCCGCUUCCUCUUUGCCCCAACGUCACAGGUGCAGCAGAGCAGCUGUGUCUGUGGUGCCGGGAGGCCCGGCGUCUGAGGGGCACAGCCACCCCCCUGACCCCCAGCAAGGAGGCGGGGGGGUAACACCUCACCUGCUGGGGCCAGCGUCUCCUCUCCACCUCGGUCUGGACGGUGACGGUGUUAUUCUGGCCCACGUUCACAGGCUGGCAGUCCCCUUCCUUCCUGGAUUAAGGAACAAAUACCCUGACCCCCAAAAAUCACUGUGUAAAGUUGGCCGCCAUUAUUACCGUUACCAAAUCAGACACCAGCCUCUACCUCUGCGGGACUGUGACAGCCGUCUAGCGAGGCGCGUGGCAGGGAGGCGCUUUCGAGCGGUCUCUCGUCCUGCCUGUCACUCGUGUUUCCAACCCCGGCUGCUACCGACGAGGUGAUCCUUUUUAUCUUUUCUGCGGUCACCUUUAGGAGCCCCAACGGGCAGCCCGCACUGGCGCCUUAGUGCCCGAUGUAGCCGGGGGACCGCAGUGGAGCCGGGAGGGUCUUCCUUCCUGAGGGGUUGCUGCCCGCCCCCCCCCCCCCCCAAGAGCUACUAACCAAUGGACCAGAAAGCCACAAACCAGGAGACGGGUCAGGAAACAGUGCCCUGCAAUUCUUAAAACCGGAGAAAGCCAGGAUGGCCGGCCUGUGCCACGGUCUCCGCAUUGUCAAAACCCUGCAACUUGACCGCUCGAGUUUCUGGCUGUGCCACGCAUCCAACUUGCUUCAGGAGGCAGAGCACGCUAACGCUCUGACCCAGAGUCAUUUGAGGGUUAGAUGGAUAGGGGCCGGUGCUCGGUCUCCCCCAAAGGAAAUUUCAGGUGCCUUCACUCUUUUCAUCCCUGGGACGGGGAACCCUCAGCCCUUCAGCAGGUCAGCCUACCUGAAAUCCACUCACCUCUUCUGCUCAUCCCUGCUUGUCAGCGACCCACUCCUACCUCCUGCUGUCAAAGGCCGGACCGAGCUGCGACACAACGGAAGGGCUUUCACGUGAGGCUCCAGGGUGCCAGGAAGCACAUCUACGAUCUAGCUCCCUGUCCGCUGUCAGGCUAUUAAUCAUCCAGACGUUCUGCAGCCGGAACGCUGGGCGUAGACAAGCCUCCCUUCUCUCUGCCGCCGAAUGACACAAAUGUGACACAAACGCAGCCACACCUGCAACGCCUCUGGGGGCAGUGAGCUCUGUGCCGGGAACACCAGCAACUCAAGGGUUAUUCCCCUGACCGCGUGGACGGUGGACUGGCCCCGUUCAGAAAACCACAUCACACUUCGGGGCGGACUUGUUCCAGCGCCUCCGUGUCGACUCACCUGAGACCCCAGGACGCCCUCCCAGGUGCUCGGUCUCUAGCAAACUCCCUAGAGAAAAAGAAAAGCAGCCCUUUGUAAAACUCCCGCGAACCCACAAGGAGCCACUUCUCGUGGGCUGUUCUGCUUGCAUUCGGCGUCCAGAGACCCUGCCACCAGGCCUACGCGUGGCCAGGAACCCCCAAAACCCAUUUACCGUCCCCCUCCCCGGUCCCCGCCUAACUCGAGUGUGGAAAACUAAGGUCACAGGCUGGCCGCGUAUGGAGCCCGGGGACCAGGUCUAGGAAUGCCUGUCCCCACCGGGCCCCCGGCUAAGCAGCGGCAUUCACACCACCGCGCUUCGGAAGCCGCCUUUCGGCCACACCCGACCAGGGAAUGAGGGGCAGCCGACCCGCUUUUUAAAGCAAAAACAACGCGUGGCCAGAGGCGGGAGGCCACUUCCUCCGGGUCUCAACCCGCGAGGGAGGGCGGCGGGCGCUCAGCAAGGUCCGGACCCGCCCGCCGCCUGGCCCGGGACCCGCCGUCCCUCCCGCGGCCGGCCCGGCACCAGGGGCGCACGGCCGCAGCUCGGGUCACGGCUGGCGAGGCCCCGGCGGGGAGGCGGGCGCCCUGGGCUCCGGGAACCAGGCCGCGCGCACCACCCGGAGACGCCGCCACCGCCCGGAAAGGACGCGCGCACGCGCGGCGUGCCU